AGGAAGAGGAGGAGUGCAUGGCAGUGACGUGAGACCAAGUGAUGGACCACCAACAAACAGUUUGUGGCAACAAAACCAGCUCACAGAGGUGACAUCAUGGAUUACCUCACCAUGAGAACAUGUCCACCAGGGACGUGGCCUACAUGCCGACACUGGACGCCGUCCCAGGUCGCCCCUGGAUGUCGCAUCUCCUGCAGGAAGCUUCACCGCACAGCGGACAUAAAUCAGUUAGAGGUGUGAACGUAUUAAACCAACUGGCAGACUCGGUCCCGUCGACUGAUGAGCCAGAACAGAUGCACAGGUAUGCACACACACAUGCACACACACACACACGCACACACACACAUGCAUACACACAUUCACAGAGUAUGAGUGCACAUCCACAUGCAUUUUGUUUCACUUUGCUUGAUUUCUUUUUUGCUUUUUUUUGUUUUGCUACCAAAUAAUAGAUUUAAUAGAACAUGUUUUCCCUUUCCUCUCGGGUUAUCAGAAUAAGAGGCUAUGGUAA